UCCACUUCCUCUUCCCUGUCUUCUUCUUCUUGGGGAUUAACAAUUAGGGUUUAGUAAUUUCAGAAAUUUGUAAAACUCUAUUGGGGGAUUUGAAAUUUCAAAUCCCUAAUUGGGGAUUCUUGAAAUUUCAAUCCUUAAUUGGGAUUUCUGAAAUUGGUUCUAAUUGUGGAUUUUUGAAAUUUCAAAUCCCUAAUUGGGAAUUUUCUGAAAUUGUUAAUCCCUAAUUGGGUUGUGGAUUUAGUAUGAAAUUGUUUAAUCUGGAAUUUCACAACACCUAAUUGCUGCCUAGUUAGAAUAUUUGGUCCCUAAUUGGAUAUGUUGAAAAAUUAGGUAUUUUGCUAUAAAAAAUCUCUAAUUGGGUGAUUUUGUUAAUUAGGAUCCCUAAUUGGGUAAUUUUCCAUUGUUCUUCCCUAAUUGGAAGUGGCAGUGAUUGCGGGGCUCAUUUUUGCUGUGCCAGACUGUCCUACACAACUGGCAUGGUAGCAAGAAAGAGGAUACGGCAAUAUGACACUUGCCGUGCCAUUGCAAGUAGUUGAUCACUUCUACGAUAAUACUCAUGUUUUGACAAUGAACACUAGCAUUGAUUAAUCAUAAACAAUGAACAUGUCCCUUAACUUCAACGAUGCCUGGCCAACAAAGACUACUACAAAUUGCACUGAAAGUCCAAAUUUCCACUUAACUCAAUGUUCAAUCCUGAUGAAAAACAGUAAUAAACAUAUCGCACAGAACUGAUGUCUGAAGAAAUCCACUGACGGCAAAGCUGAAUGGUGAAGUCCAAACCACACAGGUUGGAUGUGAGGCACAUACCACGCGGGCCCCGCAACUUUCGAUUUUCCACUUUGUUGUAAUGAAAAAGGCAAAGGAGAGCAGUAAUGUAAUUUCUCCUCUUGAAAAGCACUGCCCUAGAAUAUCGGUUACUGGAGGCACUAUUUGGUAAAAUCCAAUUCCUUGAGGAAUUUUGCAUUGCCGGAAAAAUCCCUUAUUAUUGAAUAAUAUCGCCUAGUCAUUUUUCUAGUUGUUUGAGAAAUGGUGUGAAGCAAUGGUUGGGGAGCUUUUGAAGGCAAUCGUAAUAGACUAGGAUCUGAAAAUGAUGAGAGCUUUAUGUUUCUAAAUGCUUUCUAUUUGUAUUGUAUUUGGCAUAUUUUGCUGCAGGUUCCUGCAAGGUAGGUCCUGUUGCUUUCAAAGAUGAAUUUAAUGAAUUUCAUGAUCAUAUAGAAUUCUGGGAAGCCUGAGGAGUUCGAAGUAAAAUGGAAGAAAGUUAUUGAAGAAAAUGGUUUGGAACAUAUCGACUGGCUUGCCUCUUUAUUCAACAUUUGUCACAAAUGGGUAGCAGCAUAUUGAAGCCUUUUUUUUUUUUUUCCUGCAAGUAUGUUUAGUAGCCAACGAAGUCAAAGCAUGAAUGCUUUCUUUCAUUAAUACAUGUUGAAGAAUAACUUAUUGAUGGAUUUCAUAGUUAAUUUUGAUCGUGUAGUAGUACGAUAGAGAUGCGACGAGUUAGUUGUCUAUCAUGAAACAAUUAAUAGCAAGAUGAAGUUGCAAACUUUAUUUGCCAUGGAGAGCUUGGAAAGACAUAUAUUAGGUUUAUUUUUUAUAAAUUCCAAAGAGAGUUGCAUAAAAGCACCGUUAUACUGCAGUUCCUGAAGAAAAGAUGAAAGCCUUUUGCAUGAAGAAUCGUUAGAUGAUAAGGUUGAUGUGCAUAAAGAACCAUCAGAUAAUGAGGUUUAUAUCUGUGAAGAAAUAUUAGAUGAUGAGGAGGGGACGUCAGGUUGUGAUACACUACAAUCUUAGUAUUGAUGGGUCCUUCACAUGGACCAAUAGGAUAAGUUUCUUGAUUUUUGUAUUAAUUAUGUAACCAACAGUUUUAUUUAUUAUUUAUUAUUUAUUAUUUAAUUUUGGAUUUAGGCAUUGACUUAGUAGUUGGUAAUCAUGGCCACAUAAAACCAUGCAUAUGAACCAUGAGAGAGUAGUUGUUGAUUAUUUUGAAUGAAAGAAUAAUAUUCAAUCUUGAUUUCUGGUCUAAGUUCAAAUUCUAGUGGUCCGAUGCCCUAGGAAUCCCUUGGUGCAAUGCCUUGUUUGUUUGCAUGGAGCAUCCUUCUAUGUGUCAUCUAUUUGCUGUUUAUUUCAAUUAUUACUGAUUUUUAGAGUGAAUUGAAGUCAUUCAUGGAAUCUAAUUGAUUAGUACAUAUUUCAGUUUGGUUAUAUUUGUUCAGAUUCUUCAAGUCGAUUCAUCAGGCUGAUAUCAAUUCAAUUAGAGGUCAAAGGUUUACACAUGGAAAGAUGAUAGGAAUGGGCUUCAUCGGGACCUUGACAUAAGGGAGGAGUGUCACCGCGAGCAUGCGCGUGGGUGAGAGGAAGAACGCGAAAGAAAAAAGAGAAGAAAAAAAGGAGAGUAUAUGUUUGCAAGGUAAAACCGCGAAUCUUCAGUGAUGUUGAAAAUUAGUCUGCUGUGAGUCUUUCUGAGGGCUGCUUCUUAGGUUCCUGUUUUGUUUCCUGAUUUCCUCUCAGCCUUGAAGUUUUAUUAUAAAAUUGUGAAGCAAUUGCCCUUUGCCUCUUUUCUAGAUAUUGUUCCAGAAUCCCUUGGAUGCACACUUAUCUCUAAAUACACCAAGAUAUUUAUGGGA